rnacentral:rRNA from 1 species
GUGAAAUUGUUGAAAGGGAAGCGCUUGCAACCAGACCUGCCUGCAGUUGCUCAUCCGGGCUUUUGCCCGGUGCACUCUUCUGCUGUCAGGCCAGCAUCAGUUCGGGCGGUCGGAUAAAGGCUUCGGGAAUGUAGCUCCUCUCGAGGAGUGUUAUAGCCCGUUGCGAAAUGCGGCCAGCCUGAACUGAGGUCCGCGCUUCGGCUAGGAUGCUGGCGUAAUGGUUGUAAGCGGCCCGUCUUGAAACACGGACCAAGGAGUCUAACAUCUGUGCGAGUGUUUGGGUGUCAAACCCGUACGCGUAAUGAAAGUGAACGGAGGCGGGAACCCCUCGGGGUGCACCGUCGACCGAUCCUGAUGUCUUCGGAUGGAUUUGAGUAAGAGCAUAGCUGUUGGGACCCGAAAGAUGGUGAACUAUGCCUGAAUAGGGUGAAGCCAGAGGAAACUCCGGUGGAGGCUCGCAGCGGUUCUGACGUGCAAAUCGAUCGUCAAAUUUGGGCAUAGGGGCGAAAGACUAAUCGAACUAUCUAGUAGCUGGUUCCUGCCGAAGUUUCCCUCAGGAUAGCAGUAACGUUUUCAGUUUUAUGAGGUAAAGCGAAUGAUUAGAGGCCUGGGGGUUGAAACAACCUUCACCUAUUCUCAAACUUUAAAUAUGUAAGAAGUCCUUGUUGCUUAGUUGAACGUGGACAUUUGAAUGUAUCGUUACUAAUGGGCCAUUUUUGGUA